AUGUUUCUUUAUUUUGAAUCCAUACAGGAAAAGAAGAAAGCUUCCACGAAAUUCUGCGGAAUCACUUCUACGCACCAAACGCCAUAUGCGCGAACCGUCAUGACUAUGCAACAGCACAUCCACAACGCACACGCACAACCAUAUAAGGACGACGGCGCCGCUCACGCAGCGCUCGCCGGAAACAGUCGACCACUGCCCAGAUCGCGCCAACAAGCAGCACACAGACGAUCUCUAUUCUGA